rnacentral:rRNA from 1 species
UACGGAGGGGGCUAGCGUUGUUCGGAAUUACUGGGCGUAAAGCGCGCGUAGGCGGCUUUGUAAGUUAGAGGUGAAAGCCCGGAGCUCAACUCCGGAAUUGCCUUUAAGACUGCAUCGCUAGAAUCAUGGAGAGGUGAGUGGAAUUCCGAGUGUAGAGGUGAAAUUCGUAGAUAUUCGCAGGAACACCAGUGGCGAAGGCGGCUUACUGGUCCAUUACUGACGCUGAGGUGCGAAAGCGUGGGGAGCAAACAGG